rnacentral:lncRNA from 1 species
AAUAGGAGUGCUCUGCCUGAAACGAAGCGUUUGCGGGCUUAGCUGCCUCUUACCGGCCUCCUCUUCCUCCAGGCAGAGUGGAACAGACUCCAGCUCUCCAAUUCUGGGAACUAUACAAAGAGGCUUCCGGAUUCCACUUUCAUAUUUCCCGCCACCCUGACUCCGCCCCCCCAGUUAGGAACCGCCCAAUGGCAGAAGCAAGCGGCGAUUCACCACGCCCCCCUCUUGGCUUUCUGGGGGCGGGAUCAGUCGGGGCGGAGCCCGGCCUGGGGAAAAAGAGCCCGUUCUCGUUUGCGCCUGCGCCGCUUCUAAAGAGGCAGGGGUCCCCAAACUUGGCAACUUUAAGACUUGUGGACUUCAACUCCCAGAAUUCUGGGAGUUGAAGUCCACAAGUCUUAAAGUUGCCAAGUUUGGAGACCUCUGCAAAGAGUGAUCGCUUGCAAAAGAGGGAUCGGUAGUUGCGUGCCAGCGGCGGAUCCCGCGCAGGGGACGGGCUGCCUUGCCCGUGUUGCUCUGCUCCGUUGCAGCUGUCGCGGCAUCCGAUGCAAAAAAAAAAAACCCGCAGAGCUGACCGCCCUGCAUGAAAUCAGACCAACGGGAAGCAUUUACACGUGUCAGUCCGGGUCAUCCGUCUGGGAAUGCGCUAACUCGCCGCUUUCUUCAAAACGGGGAACGAGCUGCAGGGCCGUUAUCCCCGCCAGCCCCCUUUGGUUUUCCAGCGAUCUCCCGGUUGACUAACCCGUCCCUGUUCCUCACACGGGGGUGACUGCGUUCACACGAGAUGCUGAGCUGCAAAUGUAGCGGCUGCCCAAGAGGAAGGGUGCCAGAUGUGUGUGCAGGAGAAGGAAGUGAACAUAGUCAGGAUGCAUGCAAGAAAGGUGAGUCUUCAAUUGCCUGGGUGUGGCCACCAUCUUCAUGUUUUGGACUCCCUUCAGCCACACCUGAUGUCUGCACAUUUUUGACUCUGCAGGUGCCUGUUUUUGUUCUCCUGCCUCGUUGUGUCUGAGUGUCAAUUCGUGUCCUGGGAAGCCCCCCCAAAAUGGGUCCAUGCUAGGUCUGCAUGGAGUGGCCCAAAGCAUUCAGAGCUACUGCCUCACCCUUUGGUGGAACUUCUUCUGUAUUUUUCCUCUUUGCCUCCCCACCCAGAUUUGAGAACAAUUAAUCAAAGGAACAUCUGAUCUCCCAGAGUUGUUGCUCCCCAUCACUGGAGGCUUUUAAGAAAAGAUUAGACAACCAUUUCUUUUCGCUUUUGGAAGGAAUUAUUUUGGAGGAUUAUUCUACAGACUGGCAGACUUUCAUCAUCUUUACAUAAUUUAUU